CCUACGGGGUGCACCAGUGGGGAAUAUUACACAAUGGGCGCAAGCCUGAUGCAGCCAUGCCGCGUGUGUGAAGAAGGCCUUCGGGUUGUAAAGCACUUUCAGCGGGGAGGAAGGCGUUAAGGUUAAUAACCGCAUCGAUUGACGUUACCCGCAGAAGAAGCACCGGCUAACUCCGUGCCAGCAGCCGCGGUAAUACGGAGGGUGCAAGCGUUAAUCGGAAUUACUGGGCGUAAAGCGCACGCAGGCGGUCUGUCAAGUCGGAUGUGAAAUCCCCGGGCUCAACCUGGGAACUGCAUUCGAAACUGGCAGGCUAGAGUCUUGUAGAGGGGGGUAGAAUUCCAGGUGUAGCGGUGAAAUGCGUAGAGAUCUGGAGGAAUACCGGUGGCGAAGGCGGCCCCCUGGACAAAGGCUGACGCUCAGGUGCGAAAGCGUGGGGAGCAAACAGGAUUAGAUACCCGUGUAGUC
rnacentral:rRNA from 1 species